UUUAACCACACCCCGAAAAUUUUUUAUCUGGCAGCUAACAAUCGUCCUUUGUCUAUUGUGCAGACCUUUUGGACUAAAAAAGCCAGAAUUCCUAGGAAUUUACAGGUUAAUCCAUCGUUGAUACUAAGAAAUUAAGAGGCUAACCAUAUACUAAGGGUAAGAAGGUUAUAGACAGUUUAAUUUACAUGGUUAUGCAAAAAAAAAUAUUUAAAACAUAUAUAAGAACAUGAAUAUAAAUAUUUUUGUGGGGAAAAUAUGGAAAUAAGAACUUACAUGAAGUAACUAGGAGAGAGGUUUCCCUUUCGGGAACCCCCUAAAGAUCGAAUAGAAAACUUGAAGCUUUUAUUUAAACCACGAUGUUACAAAGUUUAUACAAGAACGACUGGGUUAGACAAGUUUUUUGGGAGGAAAGGUUUAAACAUUUCAGGCGAGUUUUUAGGUUGGUUGAUUUUUCUCUCUGCCUUUCUACUACAA
rnacentral:lncRNA from 1 species